AUUGAACGCUGGCGGCAGGCCUAACACAUGCAAGUCGAACGAGUGGCGGACGGGUGAUUAGUGUCUGGGACACUGCCUGAUGGAGGGGGAUAACUACUGGAAACGGUAGCUAAUACCGCAUACCAUCAGCUGUGCCCAGAUGGGAUUAGCUAGUUGGUGGGGUAACGGCGCACCAAGGCGACGUUCCCUAGCUGGUCUGAGAGGAUGACCAGCCACACGGGAACGGAGACACGGUCCAGACGACUACGGGAGGGAGCAGUGGGGAAUAUUGGACAAUGGGCGCAAGCCUGAUGCAGCCAUGCCGCGUGUAUGAAGAAGGCGGUCGGGUUGGAAAGUACUUUCAGCGGGGAGGCGUUACCCGCAGAAGAAGCACCGGCUAACUCCGUGCCAGCAGCCGCGGUAAUAC
rnacentral:rRNA from 1 species